rnacentral:lncRNA from 1 species
AUACAGUGAAUUUGUGCUAUCCAGUAUGAAUGAGCAUUAUGGUAUGCAUCAAUUUUGUACUAUAUCAGUUUAAAACAAUUAGGACAAAAUAUAAAAUAAUAUACUCUAGAGGCAUGCUGAUAAAGGUAGGUUGAAUACAGUUUUAUCAUUUAUUGCAGUGGCAAUAAAUCAGCUUGAUAUAUCUUAUUAUAAUAAUUAUAUAGAAUUGUUACUUAACAGAAAAUUUCCCUUGUGGCACAGCAGGUUAAGGAUUCAGCAUUGUUACUGCAGUGCCUUGGAUUCUUGCUCUGGUGUGCGUUUGAUCCCUGGCCCAGGAACUUCUAUAUAUUGCGGCCAUGGCCAAAAAAAAAAAGUUCUCAACCUUAGCACUACUAACAUUUUGGGCCAGUUGACUAUCUCUGUCUGGAGGAUGUCCUAUGAAUCGUAGGAUGUUUAGCAACAUCCUGCCUGGAUUCUAUCUAUAUAAUACCAGCAGGCGCCCUCUCAGUUGUGACAAUUAAAAAUGCUCCCAGACAUUGUCAGAUAUUUCCUAGUGAAUGAGAAGGGUAUUAUAGCAUCACCCCGCUUGAGAAUUACUGCUGUAAAAUGUGGGAAAUAUCUCAAAUGGAUCAAAUAAUUUAUAAUCCCUUCUUUAUCUUCCACAUAUUUUUCUUCCAUUCACAUCAACAAUUUUUUUUUACUGUAGUGUUUAUGUUAAUUUUCAGUGGUAAUAACCUUUUUUCUUUUUUUUAAUCUUUACCCUUCCUGAUUAAUUUUGUAAAUAAAGAAUCCUGAAGUUAUAUAUGAGAAAAUAUCUUCUCAUAAACAACUUUAAAAGACUUGCCUGCUAAUUGAUAUUUUUCCAUAAGUGCUUUUGUUGUGGUUGGAGGGUUCAUGUUAUUGCUGUCUGUUCAUUUUUUAUCUUGUGGUGUCUGGCUUAUUUUGGGCCACAAAGAAUUGGUUGGUUGAUGUUGCUUUGGAACCUGCAAUGAAGGUGGUAUUCUUAACACACAGAUUCAGAAUGAGAUGCUCUUCCAGAAGUUCAAGUAUCAGAUCUGAAUGUUCUGGUCAUCCACCAAUAUCUGGUAAUAGAUGAUUCUUGAAUACCUGAACUCCCUUACUGAAUGUAUUUUUCUAAAUGAUCUAAAUAAAUGGAUUUCUACCAACUUUUAUGUAAUAUGCUUAAAUAAUAAAUAAUAACAUGUGAUCACAGAGUAAAAGUUUUCAACUGAAAAUUAAUAUGUUAAUUUUCAUCUGUAUUUUUGUUUCAGCUUAUUUUGAAAGUUUUAAGGUAAAACACCUUACCAUUUGUACUUAUACCGUUAUGAGGCAUUUAUUUUAAAUUCUUACCAUAGUUUAUCUGGCUAAAAAAAUGUAAUAGAAUGCCAAGCAUAUAUAUAAAACCUAUAAAUAGAUAUGACUCAGAAACAUUUACUUGAAUAAUCUAAAAAUACCUUUUGUUGCCACACAUACACAUAGGUAAUUAUACACACAAACAAUCACUUAAUUUAAAACAAUUGCUGACAGUUAUUGAAUGCUAGGUAUUCAGAACUUUGCAUGCAUUAUCUCAUUUAAUCCUCCCGAAGUAUUCAUGAGAAAAUUGAAAGUUCACUAAAGUUAUAUAAUUUGUACAAGAUCAUAGCUAAAAAGCUUCAGAUGCAGUUUUUGAAACCAGAUAACUUCUGGUUGAGUCUUCUUGCUGAGACAAUAAAAUCUCUAUCUUCAUUUGUGUCUAUGGCCAUACCAUCCUAAACAUGUCCUAUCUAAUCCACCUGCAUUGCUUCAAGACUUAGGUUUACACUUUUUGAUCCCAUAAUCUUUGAUGUGUGCGUGUGUGCGUGUGUGUGUGUGUGUAAAGAAAACAAAACCACAAGGUCUGGCAUAUAGUAAGUACUCAAAAAAAUAUAUGUAUGUGUGUGUAUAUAUAUGUUUUUUUUGAGUACUUACUAUGUGCCAUACUUUGUGUUUUUUGUUUUACUUUUUAUUCUAAAAUAAUUUUACACUUCUAAAUUACAAUUCAAAUACAGAGCAUUCACCUAUUUUUUUGUCCAGAUUCCCCUAAUUUUAUUAAUUUAUAUGACCUAGUAUAAUUAUUAAAAUUAUAAAGAUCAGAAAAUUAACAUUGGUUCAGUACUAUUAACUAUUAACUACCUAUAUCUUUUAUAUGAAUUUUACCAGUUUUUCCAUUAAUGUUCCAUUCUGCUCCAAAAUCAUUCUGAUCCCACAUUACAUUUAGUUGUUGUAGUUCCUUAGUUUUCAACCUGUGGCGUUUCCUCAGUCUUUUCUUCCAUGAACUUGACACUUGAUGCAUACCAGUCGUUUUGUAUGUGCUCUCUCAGUUGGGGUUUGUCUAAUGUUUUCUCAUGGUUUGACUGAAGUUACGUGUUAUUGAGGAGAAUACCACAGAGGUGAUGUACACUUCUGAGGGUAUAUGAUAUCUGUGUUUUUAUAGCUUCUCCACUGUGAAGUUACUCUUUUGCCCUUUUUAAUUAGUAAACAUCUGAGAGGAAAUAUUUUGAUACUAUGCAAAUACCUUGUUUUUCCUCAAAUUUUCACCUACUGCUAUAAGCAUCCUCUUGAUGCACACAUGUAUUUUAAACUUUCUUCUUUGAAUGGUUCUUACAAGAUGGCAAGCCAGUGAUUGUUUUGUGGGUUAUUCACAGAUGUAAAGGCAUUGCCUUCCUUUUAACUUUCAAGCUGAUGGCUGGGAUUCUAAGUAUAUUUGUGCUUAGCAGGUGAAAAUAGUAAAUAAAAUUUGAAUUCAGUUGUAUUUAGCUUGAAAAGAAAAAAUUGAAAAGCCAAUUCUUGUUAAUUCAAGCAUAAAACAAUCUUCAUUCUGGAGUUGCAAAGGCUAGAGUGGAUUUGUUAAAUUUCUUUCAAAUGAAAAGAAGGAUAUGUAUAAGAUGAACAUGGAGUAGUUGACCAAAUUUUGAAUUACUAGAACCAAUAAAUGCUUAUUAAAACAUGAGAAAAAAAAUUUAACUUAAGGCAAUUGUAGGAGUAGAAUACUUAACAUAUAAGAAUAUUCAGCCACCUAAGAGAUCAUACUGGCUAAAAGUAUAUAUCUAAGAUUAAAACAGUUGAAAUAAUAUGUGAAUAAUGUAUAAGUAGAACUUCUAAGGAAAAGACUGCAUAAGGAAGUUUGGUUUUUUUUUUAAAGAGUAAAACAUCUUCACACUUAAAAUAGCAGCAAAAAUAAAAGAGAAAAUUGUACUUCACUGAACCUAAAAAAGGCCCCAACCUCAUAUCCUUAGCUCUAGUUCUAGUUUUUCUUAUUGCUAGGUUUAAAUUUUAUUUUAUCUUUAAACAGUGUUAAAAUAAACUACCGGUACUUUAUUUCUAUGAAAUAGAGUCUCAAAAGUAGAUUGGGAAAUCCAAGUAUAUUUUUAACUUUAAUAAAUAUUUCCAGGAAGAGUAAUCUCCAAUGAGAAAUACGUAGAGACUGUUCAUUAUGCUUUUGGGUUUUCCUUACUUUAGUCCUGAGUCAAGUUAUAUCAACAGAAAGAAAUGUGUCGAGAGCUCAUAACCUAUUAUCUAUGAAAAACAAGUGACUUUUAUUCAUUAAGCUCUUAUGUGCCAAGAACUCAGCUAAAGUCGUUAUCUAUAUUACAUCCCAUUAAUUUUGCCUGGACUACAAAGGCAAAUUUUUUAAAAACUAUUUGAUUAUUUUAAAAAAUAAUACAUUUAUAGAAUUGCAGUUACAAAAUAAAGAAUCUUAGAAAUGAAAUGUACAGCAUGAGGAAUAUAAUCAAUAAAGUGUAAUAUCUUUAUAUGGUGACAGAUGGAAACUAGACUUAUUAUUUUGUAAUGUAUAGAAAUACU